GACAGAGGGUGCAAACGUUGUUCGGAAUUACUGGGCGUAAAGCGCGUGUAGGUGGCGAGGCAAGUCGGGUGUGAAAGCCCUGGGCUCAACCCAGGAAGUGCACUCGAUACUGCCUAGCUAGAGUCCCGGAGAGGUUGGUGGAACUCUCGGUGUAGAGGUGAAAUUCGUAGAUAUCGAGAAGAACACCGGUGGCGAAGGCGGCCAACUGGACGGUGACUGACACUGAGGCGCGAAAGCUAGGGGAGCAAACGGG
rnacentral:rRNA from 1 species